rnacentral:rRNA from 1 species
AUUGAACGCUGGCGGCAUGCUUUACACAUGCAAGUCGAACGGUAACAGACCGCAAGGUGCUGACGAGUGGCGAACGGGUGAGUAAUGCAUCGGAACGUGCCCAGUCGUGGGGGAUAACGCAGCGAAAGCUGCGCUAAUACCGCAUACGAUCUAUGGAUGAAAGCGGGGGACCGUAAGGCCUCGCGCGAUUGGAGCGGCCG